rnacentral:rRNA from 1 species
CCUACGGGAGGCAGCAGUGAGGAAUAUUGGUCAAUGGGCGCAAGCCUGAACCAGCCAAGUCGCGUGAGGGAUGACGGUCCUAUGGAUUGUAAACCUCUUUUGUCGGGGAGCAAGGCCCGCCACGUGUGGCGGGAAGGAGAGUACCCGAAGAAAAAGCAUCGGCUAACUCCGUGCCAGCAGCCGCGGUAAUACGGAGGAUGCGAGCGUUAUCCGGAUUUAUUGGGUUUAAAGGGUGCGUAGGCGGAAGGUUAAGUCAGCGGUAAAAUGUCGGGGCUCAACACCGGCCUGCCGUUGAAACUGGUCUUCUUGAGUGAGCGAGAAGUAUGCGGAAUGCGUGGUGUAGCGGUGAAAUGCAUAGAUAUCACGCAGAACUCCGAUUGCGAAGGCAGCAUACCGGCGCUCAACUGACGCUGAGGCACGAAAGCGUGGGGAUCGAACAGGAUUAGAUACCCUGGUAGUC